rnacentral:rRNA from 1 species
GACGAAGGUGACGACCGUUGUUCGGAAUCACUGGGCAUAAAGCGCGUGUAGGCGGCAUCGUAAGUCGGGUGUGAAAUCCCUCGGCCUAACCAAGGAAUUGCGCCCGAAACUACCUUGCUUAAGGACCAGAGGGAAGCCUGGAAUUCCUGGUGGAGCGGUGAAAUGCGUUGAUAUCAGGAGGAACACCGGCGGCGAAGACGAGGCUCUGGCUGGUUUCUGACGCUGAGACGCGAAAGCUAGGGGAGCAAACGGG